GACGAACGCUGGCGGCAUGCCUAAUACAUGCCAGUCGAACGCUGAAGCACUCUGCUUGCAGAGUGCGGAUGAGUGGCGAACGGGUGAGUAACACGUGGGAAAUCUGCCUAUAAGAGGGGGAUAACAUUCGGAAACGGAUGCUAAUACCGCAUAUAUUCUUGGACCGCCUGGUCCUUGAAAGAAAGACGGCUUUGCUGUCGCUUAUAGAUGAUCCCGCGGCGUAUUAGUUAGUUGGUGGGGUAAAGGCCUACCAAGACAAUGAUACGUAGCCGACCUGAGAGGGUGAUCGGCCACACUGGGACUGAGACACGGCCCAGACUCCUACGGGAGGCAGCAGUAGGGAAUCUUCCACAAUGGGCGAAAGCCUGAUGGAGCAAUGCCGCGUGAAUGAAGAAGGUCUUCGGAUCGUAAAGUUCUGUUAUUAGAGAAGAACAAGUCAAGGAGUAACUGUCUUGACUUUGACGGUACCUAACCAGAAAGUCACGGCUAACUACGUG
rnacentral:rRNA from 1 species